rnacentral:piRNA from 1 species
UGGGAAGAGAGGCCCUCAGUUGAGGAAUUGC